CAGCAGUGGGACUCCUACGGGAGGCAGCAGUGGGACUCCUACGGGGGGCAGCAGUGGGACUCCUACGGGAGGCAGCAGUGGGACAGUUGGCUCAGAACGAACGCUGGCGGCAGCAGUGGGACUCCUACGGGAGGCAGCAGUGGGGCCCACUCCUACGGGAGGCAGCAGUGGGACUCCUACGGGAGGCAGCAGUGGGACUCCUACGGGAGGCAGCAGUGGGGCAGUUGGCUCAGAACGAACGCUGGCGGCCCACUCCUACGGGAGGCAGCAGUGGGA
rnacentral:misc_RNA from 1 species